UACGUAGGGUGCAAGCGUUGUCCGGAAUUAUUGGGCGUAAAGAGCUCGUAGGCGGUUUGUCGCGUCGAAUGUGAAAACCCGGGCUCAACCCCGGGCCUGCAUUCGAUAACGGGCAGACUAAGAGUUCGGUAGGGGUAGUCUGGAAUUCCUGGUGUAGGCGGGUAGUAAAUGGCGCAGAUAAUCAGGAGGAACACCGGGUGGCGAAAGGCGGGACCUCUGGGCCGAUUACUGACGCUGAGGAGCGAAAGCGUGGGGAGCAAAGCAGG
rnacentral:rRNA from 1 species